rnacentral:lncRNA from 10 species
AUUCUCUCCGCAGGCGAUCUGCCGCCCGGGUCAGGCCUUUCCGCACCGCAGCUGGUCCUUCACCUCCACCUGCAGCGCCCGAAACCCCCUGUGCUCCUGUGGGGCCAUCUUGGGCCCGGACUGAACUGUGGGUUCAGGACAGUGGUGACUGGGACCCUACCCCUCUCCACCCUCUUCGACCUCACUUUACUCAGCGAGUCCCUCACUCCCAGGCACAGAGGUUUCUUUCUGGGGUAUGGCGCCCUGCUCCCCCGUGCAGACUCUCCUCACCAGGAAAAGAUGGUCACAGCAGGGUCUUGUGGUGAGGGGGCGUUGGGGGCUCAACGCCUUACAACGUUUUCCGAUGGGCAUUGAGGAUCCUGUUUAGGGGAAAGGGACACACCCUGUCACCAUGGAUGACUGUCAGAUGGAGAGCGAAAUCACGAGGACGGAAAGCCCAAACGGAAGAGGUGUCCUGCGCCAAGGUGCCGCCCUGAGUGGGCCUAACCUCAGCCUACCUGGAACAGCGUGGUGGAGGCUUGCGGGGAGGAUGCACCGAAAAGGCCCAAGAAACCCGUGGCUGCCAUCACAGUCAGCACUACGUCCCGCCAAUGUCCAGGGGACCCCUCUGCAUCCCACCCACCAUCACCCCAAAGUCUUUCCCUUGCGAAGGGGCUCUGGGCUUCAGCUGCUGACUUGACAGAUUUCUUUCCUUUGCUUAGGAAAGGGGUCUCUGUGUCCCUCUCACCUUCUAAGGUUUUGUCCACCUUUGGGUUGGGGAUGGGGAGAAGAGCCCUCUGCUUCUCUGACCUUCUGAGGGCAUUUUCAGCUUCUUGUUCUUGGAUGGGGGAUGUCUGUGAAGGUCAGAAAUGGGGCACUGUGGCCAGGUGUGGUGGCUCACGCCUGUAAUCCCAACACUUUGGGAGGCUGAGGCAGGUGGAUCACAU